ensembl:lncRNA
GUAAUUUAUUACUACUUGAAUUUGAAUUCUGUCAGCAAGACCUACAAAUAAUUCAUUAAACGUUACAUUGCAUAUCCUGUAGAUGGCGUUAAAUACAUUAGCAACUAAAUGUGCAGGUGUGCUACCUUUAGUCAUGAAUAAAACAUAUGCUCAUAAGUUAAAAUGAACUACAUGAAGAAGAAGAAAAAAAUCAAGAAAAAUUACUAUUAAUAAUUCAUUAGCUGUCUAUUUGUAUGUAAAUAUAUACAAACACAGGCAGACCGGUCCUGAUUAAUGAAUAAUUCAUAAGCUUCUGCAGCAGUGUUCAUGUCCACUGCUGCAUGCGCAGCUUUCAAAAGAACAGUCACGCGUCUUAGAUUAUACCAAAUAAUGUCAUCUGUUACUCUUUUCCUGGAUUUGAGUUUAUUUUAAUCUUUUAACAGUUUUAAUCGUUUCAGCAUUUGACAUGUAUAGGCGGGUUGCCACAAACUUAGGUAAGAAGACGUCUGCAAGAUAGAUCUCCAUAGCGACGUCUGUAUUGUUGCACAAGUUUCUUCGAGUUGUAAUCUGUCUCGAUUUAAAAGUCGAGUUGUUUUGAUGCACAGCCAUAGCAAGGAUACAGGCAAACCGUUGGAGGGGGUGAGGAGGGAGGGCGAGAGAGAGGGGACAGAGGCGAGGAUGGGAGGAGAGAUAACCGUUCAGCCACUGGCCUUCACCAGAGUGCUUAAUAUUCAAUGACCUCUGAUCCAAACUCACGCAGGGGACGUCAAAACAACAGAGGUUAAAUCAUCUCAAAGAAGGAAGCACAAGGCGAAGUGAACUACUGCUCUUGCACUAGAAGUCGACCCUCGCCAGUGGCGAUUUUCAAACUUUUGCAUUUGAGAAUUAAUUUCCAAAGUCAGGAUGCAACGGCGUCUUGUAUCGUAUGCAAAUACGCCUUCUGACGUAGUUGAUCAUGUGGGUUUUGGCGUAGAUCCCCCUGCGAUCGCCAAUUUUUUUCGGCUGUUGUCUUUAGAAUUCGGCGGAAUCGUUACAAUCGUACGCUUCUGUGGGCUGUACAAGUGGAAAAGUACGCAAUUUCGGACUCUAGCUGUCAGUAACCUCACAUCCCAGCCUUUUCCGUUGGUUGGUGGGCAGGUGAGGAGAGGCUGGGCGAAAAGGAGGCAGAGUAGGAAAAUCGCCACAUAGGACCUUACAGAUUUUAUACUCCAAAAAGGUGAAGACCAGCAUUGACAGACUCUGUGAUCUGGGAUGAAGUCUCAUGAAGUCUUUCAUUGGAGCUGACAUUCACAGUCAGCAGAAUCAUCCUUUACCAAUCCUCCAGCAGACAAAGACCUGCUCAUUGUCCAUCAACAGAGUCCCCCUACACUG